rnacentral:rRNA from 1 species
UACGUAGGGUGCGAGCGUUAAUCGGAAUUACUGGGCGUAAAGCGUGCGCAGGCGGCGAUGUAAGUCAGGUGUGAAAUCCCCGGGCUUAACCUGGGAACUGCAUUUGUGACUGCAUCGCUGGAGUGCGGCAGAGGGGGAUGGAAUUCCGCGUGUAGCAGUGAAAUGCGUAGAUAUGCGGAGGAACACCGAUGGCGAAGGCAAUCCCCUGGGCCUGCACUGACGCUCAUGCACGAAAGCGUGGGGAGCAAACAGG